rnacentral:misc_RNA from 1 species
CGAUUCGAUUUUUUAAGAGAAGGGUGUGUGCUUACGAUCGAUUAUCGCGUGGAUCGCUGCUGGUCAACAUGUACGCGAGGCAAAACAGAAGCACGCGUGCCCCUGGCGUGCGAUCCGCGUGUCACACGAGCGUGCCUUCGUUCGCAACCGACCUCGGCCUGUCACUCGGACUUGGCCAACUGAACGUGUGUUUACAAAGAGAACUCGUGCUAAAGAAAAAAUACAGUAGGGUUAAAGCCAGCGUGCUUCGGCGCAUGGCAUGCAAUGUCCUCCACAACUGAAAUUACUCUAGAAAUACGACGCUGUUGAAUAAUAUACUGAAGCAA